UUAAACGGAGAUUUUCUUUUUUUAAAAAAUGUUUGUUUACUCCAAUGGUGUCAUGGGUGGAAACUUAACUUGGUUAAUAAGAGAGACUGUAAGCUGUAUAAUACAGCUACCGCUAAAAUUAGUUACUAUUUAAAAUAGUGUUUAAGCAGACACACUGACAGUACAGCAGGAGACUGGAGUACGACUGGAACACGUUUCAGGGUCGUAGUAUGGUCAACAACAACAGUCCUGGGGUGAGGGUCUGUCACGGAGCCAAAUACAAUGAACAACCGUUCACACUAAAACUCAUACCUAUAAAGGUUCGUGUUGGGAUAUUUUCCCUUAACGUCUGUCGGGUUUUUUCCCCCCUCAGUGUGAAAUAGAGAUUUGAAGCUUGCAAUAAGAGAAACCUCCAGAAAUCAGUUGAACUUACUGCUGCCCGAAGUUGUGCCUCCUUGGUGUGCGGACGUAGCAGGACUCUUCCGGGCUGAAGAAGCGUCCAGCGGCGGCUAUGGUCAACAGCGCGGACAGAAAGGCAACAAACAGUGGGACUCUGCGGGCCAUCGCAGCGAGAGAGCAGUAAACAGAGCGAUGAA